GCCUCCUUAGCUUAGUCGGUAGAGCAUCCGCUUCGUAAGCGGGAGGUCGCCGGUUCGAUUCCGGCAGGUGGCU
rfam:Eimeria tenella Houghton genomic scaffold, Eth_scaff22